rnacentral:rRNA from 1 species
CUGCAGCCGCUGCUUGACAAGCUCCGCGCACGUCUGGCGUGUUGGAAGGCUAGGCUCCUCACCCUUGCUGGUAGACUCGUCCUCCUCAACUCCGUCCUAACAGCUUUCACCGUCUACUGGUCGGCCGUCUAUGCGCUCCCGCCAUGGGUUCGUAAGGAGCUAGAUCGGCUGCGGCGUGCAUGGCUAUGGCGCGGAGAGGAGGUGUGCCAUGGCGGGCACUGCAAGGUUGCGUGGAGCCGAGUUUGCCACCCGCGUGAUCUUGGUGGGCUCGGUAUUGUUGACCUGGAACGGUUCGGCGUGGCGCUCCGUCUCCGAUGGCUUUGGGCGGAAAGAACCUCGGCUACUCCCUGGCAGGGUUUA